AGUGAACGCUGGCGGUAGGCCUAACACAUGCAAGUCGAACGGCAGCACAGUAAGAGCUUGCUCUUACGGGUGGCGAGUGGCGGACGGGUGAGGAAUACAUCGGAAUCUACUUUUUCGUGGGGGAUAACGUAGGGAAACUUACGCUAAUACCGCAUACGACCUACGGGUGAAAGCAGGGGAUCUUCGGACCUUGCGCGAUUGAAUGAGCCGAUGUCGGAUUAGCUAGUUGGCGGGGUAAAGGCCCACCAAGGCGACGAUCCGUGGCUGGUCUGAGAGGAUGAUCAGCCACACUGGAACUGAGACACGGUCCAGACUCCUACGGGAGGCAGCAGUGGGGAAUAUUGGACAAUGGGCGCAAGCCUGAUCCAGCCAUACCGCGUGGGUGAAGAAGGCCUUCGGGUUGUAAAACCCUUUUGUUGGGAAAGAAAAGCAGCAGGUUAAUACCCCGCUGUUCUGACGGUACCCAAAGAAUAAGCACCGGCUAACUUCGUG
rnacentral:rRNA from 1 species